UCCCUGGUGGCUUAGUGGGUUAAGGAUCCAGCAUUGUCACUGCUGUGGCACAGGUUCAAUCCCUAGCCUGGGAA
rnacentral:tRNA from 1 species